UGGAGUUUACUUCUGGUGGAGGAGACAGAUGAUAAGCAAAUAUUAAAAACUCAUGUGGAGGAACUCAAGGAAUGUUUAGAAGACCAAAAGUCCCCAAUGACAGGAAAAAAAAAAAGCAACCAAGUUUUGUUUCUCUUCUCAUUCCUAUUUUCGUUGAUUUCCCACAUGUAGUCCUUUUGCUCAGGAAGUCUUUGGGGAAAUUAAGGAUCUUUGAAGCUCUGAAAUGGGUGAUCAGGUUUUAUGGUAUCUGUCAACUGUCUCAGAGGCUGGAAAGUGAACUAACUCAGAAUAGUCACGGAAUGUUGAAACAAAGCUGGAUUUUUCUCUCCAUGUUUGAAUUAAGUUCUUCUGUUUGACUGGAAGGGGCUUUUGUAUAACUAAACCUCAGCGCAUAAAGGAGAUUUGAAAGGAUCAUGAUUUAGUGGGUGGGCCGUGAAACUAGAGGUGGGAUUUGGGCAUAAAUUUAUGAGUAUCUGGGUGUUAAUGCAGACGUCUCUGCUGACAGCCUUUGGCAAGUCACGGCGCAGCCUCCCUCCUUCUCACCGCGUGAGGGCCGGCUUGGUUAUUUGCUGAAGCCCCUUCCAGGCCAGAAUUCCACAAGUACGAUUUACUGUAGUGUCUUAUCACUCUUUCAUGUCACAGUAGUGUGGAGCAUUAGAGAAAAGCCUAGACUUUUAGUUGAUAGAGAGCCAGUUGAAAUAUCAUUGAUAGAAUUUUAGUUUUAGGAAACAUUGGUUUGAUUUCUAGCUUUAUUACUAUUAGGUAUGUGAGUUUGGGCAAAUCGCUUAAUCUUUGAGUCUAGUUUUCUCUCAAAACGAGGACAUUAGGCUAAAUGAUUUCCGAGUUUCCAGCUAGUCCUAGAGUUCUAUAUUUCUACAUAGUUGAAUUAUUUUAUCAUGCUGUUACUGGGGAAUAUGACUAACCCUUUUGAAGCUACUAAUUUUAUGUCGAGCUUUAAAGUCCAUAAUUGUUAUCUUCAGAAAAUAUUAUUUGACCUACAGUAUGUCCAAAUCAGUUUAAUAAAAUCACUUUAUAACAGGG